rnacentral:rRNA from 1 species
CCCGCUGAACUUAAGCAUAUCAAUAAGCGGAGGAAAAGAAACUAACAAGGAUUCCCCUAGUAACUGCGAGUGAAGCGGGAAAAGCUCAGAUUUAAAAUCUGAGGGUCCCUGUGGCCAUCCGAGUUGUAAUCUAGAGAAGUGCUAUCCGCGCUGGACCGUGUACAAGUCUCCUGGAACGGAGCGUCACAGAGGGUGAGAAUCCCGUCUUUGACACGGACUACCAGGGCUUAUGUGAUGUGCUCUCAAAGAGUCGAGUUGUUUGGGAAUGCAGCUCUAAAUGGGUGGUAAAUUCCAUCUAAAGCUAAAUAUUGGCGAGAGACCGAUAGCGAACAAGUACCGUGAGGGAAAGAUGAAAAGAACUUUGGAAAGAGAGUUAAACAGUACGUGAAAUUGUUGAAAGGGAAACGUUUGAAGUCAGUCGCGUCGGCCGAGACUCAACCUUGCUUCUGCUCGGUGCACUUCUCGGUUGACGGGUCAGCAUCAAUUUUGACCGCCGGAUAAAGGUCGGGGGAAUGUGGCAUCCUUCGGGAUGUGUUAUAGACCUCGAUUCGGAUACGGCGAUUGGGAUUGAGGAACUCGGCGCUUUGCGUCCAGGAUGCUGGCAUAAUGGCUUUAAGCGACCCGUCUUGAAACACGG